rnacentral:misc_RNA from 1 species
AGAAAACGGGAAAUUGGACAUAAAGAUGUCCAUGCUAAAAAAUCUGCUAAAACAACAGAAAAAGUAGAGAACAAGAGAACAAGUUCAAAAAUAAAUUACAAUGCUUUGCAGAAGCUGACUGAUGAAUUGAAGCAAGUUCCUGUAGAGGCAGAGCUAGGAGGACUGGAACCUAAGGCCUGUGCCAAUGGUGAUUCAGCUGAAAACCUGAAGAUUGGAUUCCAUGAGUUUGAACAGGAGAACAAAUAUGGUGAAUAUGAUGACUCGUUUAGAGAAAAUGAUGAUAGUUCAUAUUAUGGAUAUGGAACUGGAUACCAUAGCAAUAGUGAAGAUUUUGACGCUAAUUAUUGAAUUGUAAAAUUUAUAGAAUCUCUUUUUUUGUUGAGCUGUAGGAUGCAAAGAAACAAUAGAGUAGAAGGGUUAAACAAUUUU